CCUACGGGAGGCAGCAGUGAGGAAUAUUGGUCAAUGGGCGUAAGCCUGAACCAGCCAAGUCGCGUGAGGGAUGAAGGUUCUAUGGAUCGUAAACCUCUUUUAUAAGGGAAUAAAGUGCGGGACGUGUCCCUUUUUGUAUGUACCUUAUGAAUAAGGAUCGGCUAACUCCGUGCCAGCAGCCGCGGUAAUACGGAGGAUCCGAGCGUUAUCCGGAUUUAUUGGGUUUAAAGGGUGCGUAGGCGGCCUGUAAGUCAGGGGUGAAAGGCUGGGGGUCAAACAUAGAAGUGCCGUUGAAACUGGGAGGCUUGAGUAGGUGUGAGGCAGGCGGAAUGCGUGGUGUAGCGGUGAAAUGCUUAGAUAUCGCGAAGAACCCCGAUUGCGAAGGCAGCCUGCCAGGCCAUGACUGACGCUGAUGCACGAAAGCGUGGGGAUCAAACAGGAUUAGAUACCCUUGUAGUC
rnacentral:rRNA from 1 species